GCCCACAGGAGGUGGAAAGUACAGUAGUACUAGUAAGCAGUGGCGGAUUUGGGUGCCACAUGCACAGGGCGGCAUAUAAGACCAUCUCUCCCCCUCCUCUCUCCCCGCAGCCCACCAGCAGAAGGCUUGUUUUUUGUUUAUAUUUUUUACUAAGAGGGGAGAUUGAGAUUCUGGAGAGGCCGGGAGGAAGAAGGAACUGUGAGCAGGGGGCGGAGCUACACGGGACCCAGGCAGAGAGGGCUGCUGCUACACAUGUGCCUGCUAAAGAAGAUCCCCAGGGGCUGCUUGUGAAAUUUCUCCAAACCGCAUUACAUAAUAUUAUCCAGUCUAAUUAAUGCAAGCUUUUAGUAUUUUGUAUUUGAGUGCUGAUCGUUGGCGGUAGCACAUGGUGAUGUCACUCCUGUCUGCUGUAAGCUGCUGGUAACCGGAAGCUGGUUUAUAAGGUCUGUUGGCUGCUCUGUCCAAGGCUGCUUUAGAAAAUUGAAGCCCUUUUCUUCUCCUCUGUGCUUAUCAGGUG